rnacentral:ribozyme from 1 species
AACAACUGUCCUGCUUUGCACUGCAAUAGGAAUCCGAAGCCCUCCGAGGAAUAAUAUAGACUCUCCCAUCCAACUCUUAUUCCGACAUGUUCUCGUCAUGCAGAGUGGUAACGUGUGCCACCACAUAUCCAAGCUUGGGUACUUGGGCUUGACCCAACCUCUAGGGCGGAUGGUGGCAUAUGGCAAACAAGGAGGGG